UUGGAGGGCAAGUCUGGUGCCAGCAGCCGCGGUAAUUCCAGCUCCAAUAGCGUAUAUUAAAGUUGUCGCAGUUAAAAAGCUCGUAGUUGAAUUUCGGGAUCAAUGUUUCGGUCAUGCCGUUGGUAUGUACUGAUAUUAUUGAUUUCUCACCUUCUAAAGAACCGUAAUGCCAUUAAUUUGGUGUCACGGGGAAUUAGGACUGUUACCUUGAAAAAAUUAGAGUGUUUAAAGCAGGCUCACGCUUGAAUACAUUAGCAUGGAAUAAUGAAAUAGGACAUCCGAUUCUAUUUUGUUGGUUUCUAGGAUCGAUGUAAUGAUUAAUAGGGAUAGUUGGGGGCAUUAGUAUUCAAUUGUCAGAGGUGAAAUUCUUGGAUUUAUUGAAGACUAACUACUGCGAAAGCAUUUGCCAAGGAUGUUUUCAUUAAUCAAGAACGAAAGUUAGGGGAUCGAAGACGAUCAGAUACCGUCGUAGUCUUAACCAUAAACUAUGCCGACUAGGGAUCGGAUGAUGUUAAUUUUUUAAUGACUCAUUCGGCGCCUUACGGGAAAC
rnacentral:rRNA from 1 species